rnacentral:piRNA from 1 species
UUCGGGUAAAUAGUUCCAAGUUGGUCCGAGU